rnacentral:rRNA from 1 species
CAAGGCUAUGACGGGUAGCUGGUCUGAGAGGACGACCAGUCACACGGGGACUGAGACACGGCCCCGACUCUACGGGAGGCAGCAGUGGGGAAUUUUCCGCAAUGGGCGAAAGCCUGACGGAGUGACGCCGCGUGUGGGACGAAGGCCUUCGGGUCGUAAACCACUGUCAGUGGGAAAGAAGGGUGUCGGUGUUAAUACCACCGGCAUUUGACGGUACCUGCAGAGGAAGCCCCGGCCAACUCUGUGCCAGCAGCCGCGGUAAGACAGAGGGGGCAAGCGUUGCUCGGAAUUACUGGGCGUAAAGGGCGCGUAGGCGGGAUGGCAAGUCGGUCGUGAAAUCCUUCGGCUCAACCGAAGAACGUCGAUCGAUACUGCUGUUCUUGAGGAUUGCAGAGGAGACUGGAAUUCCCGGUGUAGCGGUGAAAUGUGUAGAGAUCGGGAGGAACACCGGUGGCGAAGGCGGGUCUCUGGGCAAUUCCUGACGCUGAGGCGCGAAAGCGUGGGGAGCAAACGGGAUUAGAUACCCCGGUAGUCCACGCUGUAAACGAUGACGACUAGGUGUGGGGGGGUUCAGUCCCCUCCGUGCCGCAGCUAACGCAUUAAGUCGUCCGCCUGGGGAGUACGGCCGCAAGGUUGAAACUCAAAGGAAUUGACG